rnacentral:lncRNA from 1 species
AUGGAUAUAUGCCUUGCCUGCAGAGAAGUAAGAAUCUUCAUUAGCUGGAGAGCUGCCCUAAGGAAAGGGAGUGGUGUGUGUGUGCACAUACACAUGUACUUGUCAUACAGCUGCUGUUCAUGGAGUUUUCUUCAUUUUCUCCAAGUCACAUCUUCAAACUGGAUAGAAAGGCAGAGAACUUUCAUCAGCUUUUCAAGAGUUGCUGCAAUGCUUCCCACUAUACUUCUCCAGCUAUCAAAUGCUCCUCUUCGUGAUGACUCCUUCUGCCAUGACGUCUACCGAGAAUGGUGAAUAAUAUUUGCAAAGACAAAAGAACAGUGAGAACAAUUUAUGAAAACCCUGUUAUUUGUGAUACGAAGAACACGUGGAUUCGUGCUCAAAGCUGACCAUGGUCCUUCUUAGUUUUUCUUCAGCAGACAACAGCAGCCUUCUUAUUUUUCUAAUUGUUAGAAGAAUAUAAAAAAACAUUGCCAGAAAUAAAAAGCAGACUAGUGGAACUGAAACUGCCUUUGUGAUUCCCACACCUCUUAAAUUGUCGUAUUCUGAUUUGUCCACACCUCUUUCAGAAACAAUGGUAUCAUCAUUCUUGGCAAAGAAUGCUUCCUUCCUUAGUCACAGGUGUGAAGACAGGGCUUCCACUUGGAUGGAAAAAUAAGGAAGUUGUUUUCUCAGUUGAUAUAGUGUCCAUUUUUGGAAUCCCCAAAAAGCAUUACACUUGCUAAAAGAGAAGGAAAAAUAAUAUAGGGAUUUCAGUUAGAUUUAUUAAUUUUAAAAUGGGAGGAAGUGCCCCUUGCAAGUAUCUGGAACUCACAUUGUUUACCAUGAGCAAAAAUAGAAUAUUCGUUAUCUCCUUUGCACUUGUGCAUUUAACAGGCAUUGCACAGUUUGUGCCUGUUGCCCCUUGUCCUGUCACUAGGCAUCACCAAGCCUGGCCUAUCCAUCUGGCUCUUGCUCAUUAGAUAUUUAUACGUUUUGAUAAGAUCUCCCCUCUUCUUCUUAUCUGUCUCAACAGUUCCAGGUCUUUCACCCUUACCUAGUAAGAGGGAUGCUCCCGGUCCCUAAUUACCUUUGUGGCCCCCCACUGGGCUCUCUUUAGAAGUUUCCCGUCUUUCUUUAACUGAGGAGCCCAGAACUGCACACAGUACUACAGAUGUGGACUCACAAGGGCAGAGUAGAGAGAGAGGAUCACAUCUCAACAUACUGCCCAUGCAAUUUCUAAUGCUGAAGUAAUUCUAAUUCUGUGAAAAAAUUCCACUUCUGUUAUUAUUAUGUUAUUAUUAUUAUUUAUCAUUUUUUCAGAAGUAAGUAGUAUGUAUUUACUUAGAAACUUAUUACUAGUAUUUUAUGUGAUAACCAAACCAUAUACAUAUUUCACUGUUAAUAAGACUAAAAGCAGAUGUUGAAGUAUCUAGUAUGGAUAUAAUUCUCCAAAUUCAUUUCACAACGAGAGAACUUAUUUAAUCCCUUCACAUUUUCUGGAAAUCAGCUCUCACUAACCUUGGCUACUUUGCAUUUCACAGCAGCAUAGAUGAGUGCUGGACCUACUAUGCUUUGAAAAAUGUGUGUGCACGUGUGUUUUGCUUUUAAUCUACAAUUUGAAAGGACGAUUGUAUUAAUCUUUUGUACAUUAAUUUAUCUGGAGUGUCUGUUCUUUCUGAGACAGAAUGUACUCUGAUUACAAAUACUACUUCUAUUGCUGGAAUUUACAGCCUGGUUUACAAGAAGCAGCAUUGUUAUGUUAUGUUAGACAUAAGUAGUAUUUAAUGGAAUAAUGUAAGGGUUAACAUACAAGUUCAUGCUGGUUUAAUAUUAAAAAUUAAUUAGAUUCCUGUUGUAUUCCCCAUGGCUAGAAUUUCCCUGGGAAAAGAUAGACAACAAUGGUACAUUGUUAUGAAAACUGUAAAUGUUAUAAGAUGGAGGUUGAUAAGUUUACGGAUGGGGAUCACAAAACAAGAUAAGAAAUACUCUGAAGUUAGAAUGAAAGCCUGAGAUAAUUGUUCUUUUGUAUCCAGUUUCUUAGUAGGGCUAGUACCUAAGUACAUUAUGCAGAGGAGAUUUGUGUUUGAGCCUCACAUUACAGGGCCUCUCUUGCUUAGCUAAGGGAGUUGGGUAGGGUUUGGUGGUCUCAGUGCACGGCAGAUAUGCUUUUGGAGUUAGAAGCCCUAGGAAUAUCUUGGAUCUUUUGGAUAAUUUACUUCAAAUUCUUAGUACUGUAAAGAUUUUAAGGAAAUGAUUGCUGCUGUUUUUUCUUAUGCUCCAUCAGAGGUACGGCUCUCAUCCUUUUCUUCUGAGUCUGUACAGGCGAUCGGGUGCAGUGUGCACUGAGGUAUGGGAUUGGUCAUGAAAUAAUUGUAUGGCUCUUUUAAGAUUAAAUAUCUGUUGCAAUGAUUCUUUGAUUUCUUGGGACAUCAUUCAGUGACCUACAUAGUCUUCUUCAAUCAACAGUUGCUAUGUUUUGGACAGUGCUAAGAUAGAAAUCCAGAAAAUGAGAAGCAGUGCUAAUAAGCUUGGGAGACAAACUCUAGAUGGCUUAGAGCUCAUCUUUCUUGGCCAAAUAAAAGAUUUCUUGAGCAAUUUCAGCUGAGCAUUUGUGACUGUUGAACAUAUAACAGGAGGUAUUUUGCUCUGAAUAUGAAGAACACUUUUGUUUACUCUUAUUUGCACAUAGACUGGGGAAAUAGCAAAGCUCCUUCCCUGGGAGGCAAGCAUUCCCUUUCUUAUUGCACUUCACAGCUCAACGUCAUGACUUGGUCAUGAGAAAAAGCGAGAAGUACUGGUAUGCUUGUUAUAUCACUUUAGAAUUAACUAAAAAUUCCAGUGUUAUAUAAAUAUUAAGAUCACUGGACACCUUGUCUUGAAGAUUUUAGAGGACACUCAGAAAAAUUCAUAUGUAUUAAGUGUGGAAGAGUCCCAAUAUCAGAAAUUUUUGUAGAAAUUUCAAGAUAAAACAAAUCGUCUGAGGAAAAAUCAUUUACCACAGCAUAUAGGAUCUUUGGUAUUCGUGGUCUGUAGUCCAGACAGUGCCCAGGAUUUCUGUUCAGCAUUUUAACUGGGGAAGGCUAAAGUUCUUCUGUCUGCCAGAGAUGUGUUACAGUCUUUGUUUGACCUUGCCUGGGGCAGGAUGCUUCUCAGAGCAUUAAAAAACCAGAACAGUUAAAACCUAGAACAGAUUUCACCCAGCCUAUCAUAAGCACCUCAGGUUAGACAGUAGUCUAGACAUCCUCGUCUCUUCUUAGAGUCUACAAACAAAUUUAAGUACCCCCAGAAGGUGAUUUGUGUCAUUAUAAGAUGCAUCAGAUAAACUGUCCAUUGAAGAGGCCCAUAUUGAAUCUAGAAGAUCCCAAAUAAACUGAUUUAGCUUUGGACAGCCACAUCCUAAACGCCUAAAGCCUGUGUAGGAUGAAUGCUGCGUUGUGCCCUUACGUAGGGGGCAUUUUAACUAGAUGCUUGAAUUUACUCAUGGAGCUCUUAACUGUAGAUUUGAAUUGACUUAAAUGAGAUUUCAGAAGACCGCCUAUAGUAGUAGUGCUUCAGUCUCAGAACAUGUUUCUAAUCACAUGAUAAUCUCACAUGUUUUUCCAAACUGUUGUCUGACUCAUUCAAAAGAAAAUAUUCAAAUAAUAGAGAACCAGACCAGUUCUCUCUCUAUGUUUUGCAAAGAUCAAACAAAACCCAUUAAACUUUUACUGCUUCAAACUUUGUACUGAAGGACCCACUGUAAAAAGCUCUGUCAUUAGACCUCUGCAAGGACUUACUAGACUCUGACAUGAGUCAUUUCAUACAGAAGAUGCAGCCACCAAAUGGUGUUACUGUAUGAAGUAAAAAGCGUGGACAUUAGCUGGGGGUAAGGCUUGAUGAUCUCUAGAGGUUGCUUCCAGCCUCAAGGAUUCUUUGAUUCUGUGAUAACUGCAUUUUUGGCAUGCAUGUAUGUUCUCCCAUUGAACCAUGACUUCUCCAUUGUUUUGCCAGUACUAUCAUUAUACUUUAUUUAUUAACAACAACAAAAUUUGGCUUUCUAAACGUUUUAAAUACUUUACUGUUAUGUCAAAGAGACAUGUGGCAAACGGGUCUGGUAUAUUUGAAGGAAGCAUAAUGAGCAAUGAUUCUCAAAAUGGAGUCCUUUAGAGAUGGAUUAAAUAGCCUGCCAAUAACGGAGUAAUGCACAAUUUUCCCAGCAGAUUCCAGAGGUAUUACUAUCACUGAGCACAGGUUAAAUUGAAUGAUGGUUAGAGUUAGGUUAAAUUGAAUGAUGGUUAGAGUUGAUGAAAUGAAAACAAAUUCUAAGUACAGAACUGGGGAUUCAAAUUACCUGCCCACAUGGUGUUAUAAAAAAUGAUA